rnacentral:rRNA from 1 species
GACGAACGCUGGCGGCGUGCUUAACACAUGCAAGUCGAACGGAAAGGCCCUGCUUGUUUGGGGUGCUCGAGUGGCGAACGGGUGAGUAACACGUGAGUAACCUGCCCUUGACUUUGGGAUAACUUCAGGAAACUUGGUCUAAUACCGGAUAUGAGCUCCUGCUCCAUGGUGGGGGUUGGAAAGUUUCGGCGGUUGGGGAUGGACUCGCGGCUUAUCAGCUUGUUGGUGGGGUAGUGGCUUACCAAGGGUUUGACGGGUAGCCGGCCUGAGAGGGUGACCGGCCACAUUGGGACUGAGAUACGGCCCAGAGUCCUACGGGAGGCAGCAGUGGGGAAUAUUGCACAAUGGGCGGAAGCCUGAUGCAGAAACGCCGCGUACGGGAUGACGGCCUUCGGGUUGUAAACCGCUUUCGCCUGUGACGAAGCGUGAGUGACGGUAAUGGGUAAAGAAGCACCGGCUAACUACGUG